GGGGAGGGGAGGACUGCGCAUGCACGGGGGUUGACUGCAUUGGAAGGGAACCAUACUUGAAGUUGAGAUGCUUAAAAAAGAAUGGGAAGAAUGGAAACAAGCAACCUCGGGAGAGUGCAUAUUCCUCUACUCCUCAUGGGUGUGGACAUGUUUCAGGAUGCUUCAGAGGUUCUUUGGAAGAGGAAGGGGGUCUCCAGAAACUCUUAGUAUGCCUUUGAGAACAGCUCUUCAUUCAAAAGGGGAACCAGAUCUGCAUGUGAUAUACAGAUAUACCUGUAGGCAAAAAAGAAAGAAAAGAAAGAAAGA